AUUGAACGCUGGCGGCGUGCCUAACACAUGCAAGUCGAGCGGUAACAGGUGUAGCAAUACAUGCUGACGAGCGGCGAACGGGUGAGUAAUGCUUCGGAAUCUACCCAAUGGUGGGGAAUAACCAGCCGAAAGGUUGGCUAAUACCGCAUACGUCCCACGGGAGAAAGCAGGGGAUCGCAAGACCUUGCGCCAAUGGAUGAGCCGAAGUCGGAUUAGCUAGUGGUAGGGUAACGGCCUACCAAGGCGACGAUCCGUAGCUGGUCUGAGAGGACGACCAGCCACACUGGGACUGAGACACGGCCCAGACUCCUACGGGAGGCAGCAGUGGGGAAUAUUGGACAAUGGGGGAAACCCUGAUCCAGCGACGCCGCGUGUGUGAAGAAGGCCUGCGGG
rnacentral:rRNA from 1 species